AGUGAACGCUGGCGGUAGGCCUAACACAUGCAAGUCGAACGGCAGCACAGUAAGAGCUUGCUCUUACGGGUGGCGAGUGGCGGACGGGUGAGGAAUACAUCGGAAUCUACUUUUUCGUGGGGGAUAACGUAGGGAAACUUACGCUAAUACCGCAUACGACCUACGGGUGAAAGCAGGGGAUCUUCGGACCUUGCGCGAUUGAAUGAGCCGAUGUCGGAUUAGCUAGUUGGCGGGGUAAAGGCCCACCCAGGCGACGAUCCGUAGCUGGUCUGAGAGGAUGGUCGGCCACACGGGAGCUGGGACACGGUCCAGGCUCCUACGGGAGGCAGCAGUGGGGAAUAUUGGACAAUGGGCGCAAGCCUGAUCCAGCCAUACCGCGUGGGUGAAGAAGGCCUUCGGGUUGUAAAGCCCUUUUGUUGGGAAAGAAAAGCAGCAGGUUAAUACCCCGCUGUUCUGACGGUACCCAAAGAAUAAGCACCGGCUAACUUCGUG
rnacentral:rRNA from 1 species